rnacentral:rRNA from 1 species
CCUACGGGAGGCAGCAGUAGGGAAUCUUCCACAAUGGGCGAAAGCCUGAUGGAGCAACGCCGCGUGGGUGAAGAAGGUCUUCGGAUCGUAAAACCCUGUUGUUAGAGAAGAAAGUGCGUGAUAGUAACUGUUCACGUUUCGACGGUAUCUAACCAGAAAGCCACGGCUAACUACGUGCCAGCAGCCGCGGUAAUACGUAGGUGGCAAGCGUUAUCCGGAUUUAUUGGGCGUAAAGGGUUCGUAGGCGGUCUUUUAAGUCUGAUGGGAAAGCCUUGGGCUUAACCGGCGUAGGGCUUUGGAAACUGGCAGACUAGAGUGAAAAAGAGGAGAGUGGAACUCCAUGUGUAGCGGUGAAAUGCGUAGAUAUAUGGAAGAACACCAGUGGCGAAAGCGGCUCUCUGG